CAAGAAGAUAGUAUUUCUCUUCCCAUUCCCAUCUCCAUGAGUACCUGAACAGAGGGUUUGCAGUUUUCUCUGGAAGACCAUCUGAGUGAAGGAAGAGAGAGAGGCUAUAUGAGGGACAACUGCUGUAAAAGCACGGGGAAGAGUGCCAUUUCUUACAAAGUUACAGACUGAAAUGUCGAGAAUAGCUUUAAUCAGCAAUUGGCUGAAGAAAACUCCAUGGGACUUAGCGGUAGCAAGGCUCAUUAAAUUACAUGAGGAGCAUUCUGCACAUUCAACUGAUGGUGAAAGGACACAGACUUGUUAGCCAGUGAACUGGUGCGGUUGUGAAAAGCCAGGACUGCCAUGAACAUGAAAAAAAGUCAGCAUAAGGACCAAGAAGAUCUUAGAGCGAAUUUGAGGAACAGAGAAGGCAAAGAACAGUUUGGAAUGACCUGAGAGACAGUGCCUGUGUAUUUCUUUCAAGCCUAUCAUGCUUGCUGUCAUCUUCAGAACUACAGUUUUUAAAAAAAUAAAGUUGCCUAUGUGGUUUUAUUUACUAUAUCAACCAUGGAAGAAGGGAACUAAAUUCAGUGACUGAUGGGUCUGACAGCCAAAAUGUUCAUAUAGUCUCUGAUGGGUGCAUUUACUUCUUCGUGUGUUUAAGAGUCCUUGAAUUCCAAACAUUUAAAUAGAUUAUUGCAAAUAUAUUUUUCAUUUCUUGGUCAAGUCCAGAGUAAUAG
rnacentral:lncRNA from 1 species